AGAAUCUAUCCACUACCACAAAGAGAGAGUCUACACCACGUUGUGUUCUUGGAAGCCCGAGCACAAAGUCCAUAGAUAAAUCUUCCCAUAUAUCUUCUGGAACUGGUAGAGGCAUGUACAAUCCCGUAUUUUGGGAAUGUCCUUUUGCUCUUUGACAAACAAUGCAACGUUUCACAAAAAGUCCUACGUCUCUCUCUAACUGAGGCCAGUAAAAUCUCUCUUCAAGACUGGCAAUUGUCUUAACUCGACCAAAAUGACCUGCUAAACCGCCUGCAUGCAAGUCCCUGAUCAAUUUUUCUCUUAGAGACGUUCUAGGAAUACACAACUUUGUUCCUUUAAAAAGAUAUCCUUCAGACACAUGGAAGUCUAGAAAUGGAGCAUGACAUUGAACUUGCUCCCAAAUUUGCAUGAAAUCCUCAUCCUUAACAUAUAGCUCCUUGAGUUGGUCAAACUCAAUAACCUCCCCUUGCAUGAUGACCAAUAAAUUUCUCCUGCGACUAAGAGCAUCUGCUGCUCAGUUUAAGGCGCCAGACUAAGAGCAUGGUUUACUGCUGGGGGAACUCUCUGUCCUUCAAGUCUCAAGCUAAUAUUAGCAAGGAUAUUAUGGAUU